CGAAGGUCGCAGCGGAUGAAGGGAGCUUGCUCCUGGAUUCAGCGGCGGACGGGUGAGUAAUGCCUAGGAAUCUGCCUGGUAGUGGGGGAUAACGUCCGGAAACGGGCGCUAAUACCGCAUACGUCCUGAGGGAGAAAGUGGGGGAUCUUCGGACCUCACGCUAUCAGAUGAGCCUAGGUCGGAUUAGCUAGUUGGUGGGGUAAAGGCCUACCAAGGCGACGAUCCGUAACUGGUCUGAGAGGAUGAUCAGUCACACUGGAACUGAGACACGGUCCAGACUCCUACGGGAGGCAGCAGUGGGGAAUAUUGGACAAUGGGCGAAAGCCUGAUCCAGCCAUGCCGCGUGUGUGAAGAAGGUCUUCGGAUUGUAAAGCACUUUAAGUUGGGAGGAAGGGCAGUAAGUUAAUACCUUGCUGUUUUGACGUUACCAACAGAAUAAGCACCGGCUAACUUCGUGCCAGCAGCCGCGGUAAUACGAAGGGUGCAAGCGUUAAUCGGAAUUACUGGGCGUAAAGCGCGCGUAGGUGGUUCAGCAAGUUGGAUGUGAAAUCCCCGGGCUCAACCUGGGAACUGCAUCCAAAACUACUGAGCUAGAGUACGGUAGAGGGUGGUGGAAUUUCCUGUG
rnacentral:rRNA from 1 species